CCAGACUCCUACGGGAGGCAGCAGUGGGGAAUAUUGCACAAUGGGCGAAAGCCUGAUGCAGCAACGCCGCGUGAAGGAAGAAGGGUUUCGGCUCGUAAACUUCUAUCAACAGGGACGAAAGAAAUGACGGUACCUGAAUAAGAAGCCCCGGCUAACUACGUGCCAGCAGCCGCGGUAAUACGUAGGUGGCAAGCGUUGUCCGGAUUUACUGGGUGUAAAGGGCGUGCAGCCGGGCCGACAAGUCAGAUGUGAAAUCCGCGGGCUUAACCCGCGAACUGCAUUUGAAACUAUUGGUCUUGAGUACCGGAGAGGUCGUCGGAAUUCCUUGUGUAGCGGUGAAAUGCGUAGAUAUAAGGAAGAACACCAGUGGCGAAGGCGGAUGACUGGACGGCAACUGACGGUGAGGCGCGAAAGCGUGGGGAGCAAACAGGAUUAGAUACCCCGGUA
rnacentral:rRNA from 1 species